UCUGAGUCCAGUUUAAGAACCCAUUACGGCCCUCGAGUCAAAAAGUUUGCCCACCCAGAGGGAGCCAGGACUCAACAGAAAGUGAAGUAGAAUGGAGUCAAUUACAUCUCAAAGGGUAAUGCCAACCCAAAUCAAUGCUUCCUAAUGAAAAUCUGUUUACUGGAUCAAGUGGAUGACUCAAGUAUAAACUAGACUUUGAAUUAUUCAUUUUAUACUUGGAAAGAAUCAUUUUCAGAUACGACUGAGCCUAGGUGUUCCUACUGUACCACACUGCCCUGUGGGAGAACAUUCUGAUGGAAACACUUGCCUUGAAAUAAAAAACUUUUUUAUAAUUUU